rnacentral:rRNA from 1 species
UAUGGGCGAGAGCCUGAACCAGCCNAGUAGCGUGAAGGAUGAAGGCUCUAUGGGUCGUAAACUUCUUUUAUAUGGGAAUAAAGUUUUCCACGUGUGGAAUUUUGUAUGUACCAUAUGAAUAAGGAUCGGCUAACUCCGUGCCAGCAGCCGCGGUAAUACGGAGGAUCCGAGCGUUAUCCGGAUUUAUUGGGUUUAAAGGGAGCGUAGGUGGAUUGUUAAGUCAGUUGUGAAAGUUUGCGGCUCAACCGUAAAAUUGCAGUUGAUACUGGAUAUCUUGAGUGCAGUUGAGGCAGGCGGAAUUCGUGGUGUAGCGGUGAAAUGCUUAGAUAUCACGAAGAACUCCGAUUGCGAAGGCAGCCUGCUAAGCUGCAACUGACAUUGAGGCUCGAAAGUGUGGGUAGCAAACAGGAUUAGAUACCCUGGUAGUCCAAGGGCGAAUUC